rnacentral:tRNA from 1 species
AGAAAAUCAGGACUCGAACCUGCACCUAAUAACUCAAAACUAUUUGUACUUCUUUAUACGAUUCUCUA